GUGAGUCAUCGAAUCUUUGAACGCACAUUGCGCCCCUUGGUAUUCCGAGGGGCAUGCCUGUUCGAGCGUCAUUUCAACCCCCUCAAGCUCUGCUUGGUGUUGGGCCUCGCCGCGCCGCGGCGGGCCUUAAAAUCAGUGGCGGUGCCCGUCUGGCUCCAAGCGUAGUAACUUCUCUCGCUCCGGAGGCCCGGCGGUUGCUUGCCAGACAACCCUCUACAUUUCUCACGGUUGACCUCGGAUCAGGUAGGGAUACCCGCUGAACUUAAGCAUAUCAAUAAGCGGAGGA
rnacentral:misc_RNA from 1 species